ensembl:lncRNA
GUGAUCUUGGUCACUAUCUUGGUCAUCUGGAAGGCCUAGAGGAUUUGGAUGACUAGCCUCAACUCCUGUCAUGAGCUCCUCUCUUCCUGUGAGAGAUGAUCAGGUCCACUCUGUUCUACUCAGAAGGCUGAGAUUUAUGAAGAAGUUCCACUGCAGUUCUACAACUUCCUCAUAGGUAGCAUUCUCCUGGCCUCCAAGAAAAUAGAAACGUCAAUCAGACUGCCAGAAAGUGAAGAGUGGUU